UGAUCAAAUUGAAUAAAAAUAACUUACAAUUAUUUAUUGCUAAAUAGCCAAUUU
rnacentral:tRNA from 1 species